rnacentral:rRNA from 1 species
AUUGAACGCUGGCGGCAGGCCUAACACAUGCAAGUCGAACGCGUGGCGGACGGGUGAGUAAUGUCUGGGAAACUGCCCGAUGGAGGGGGCUAACUACUGGAAACGGUAGCUAAUACCGCAUACCAUCGGAUGUGCCCAUAUGGGAUUAGCUAGGAGGUGGGGUAAAGGCUCACCUAGGCGACGAUCCCUAGCUGGUCUGAGAGGAUGACCAGCCACACUGGGACGGAGACACGGUCCAGACUCCUACGGGAGGCAGCAGUGGGGAAUAUUGCACAAUGGGUGCAAGCCUGAUACAGCCAUGCCGCGUGUAUGAAGAAGGCCUUCGGGUUGUAAAGUACUUUCAGCGAGGAGGCGUUACUCGCAGAAGAAGCACCGGCUAACUCCGUGCCAGCAGCCGCGGUAAUAC